UGUAUGUUUUUAUUAUGUGUAUAUGUAUGAUAAAGAAUAAAAUGUACACAUAAAGAAUUAAAAAAUAAAAACCAAACCCCAAUUCCAAUUCAAGCCAAUUUUGUAUAAAUUAAAUAUAAAUUACACUUUUUUUUUUUUUUUUUCUGAGACAGGAUCUCACCAUCGCCCAGGCUGGAAUGCAGUGGUGUAAUCAUAACUUACUACAAUCUCAAAUUCCUGGACUCCAGUGAUACCCCUGCCUCAGCUUCCUCGGCAGGUGGAACUACAGGUCAGCAAGACACCUCCAAGUCUUGAGCGGGGAACUGGGGAGAACUGACGCUCUUACCUUGUUAAUAAUUCCUCCGUUUUCAACAACUCCUUCGGCACCAACUAUGACAAGAUCUGCCUUCUCCAUGAUGUAGCUAAGGGGAAAAAAAGCUUUUCAUGCUUUAUUUUCUUGUCUCUAACGAGUAGCAUCAUCAUCUGCAAAGAUCAAUAUUCCAUUUCUAUCAAGGUAAGUUCCUCCCAUAACUACUUUUUUUUUUUAAAGAGCGCUUAACACACGACAGACCCCUGGCAUUGUUACCAGGGGCGUUUUUUGUUCAUGACACUACAAUGAGACAUACACUUCACACUGCCGCCCAGGGCAUGCACACGUACAUAUGUGUGUAACUGAAGCAAGAAAGAAUGUCCUGACACAGCAGUCAUCCUUCCAAGUGUGGUAUCCUCUACUUUCUGUUCUACUUCAGUUCAAACCAAACAAAAUUUUAAAAUCUGAUGUGAUCUGAAGUUGGACAAAUGUGUUAUGCAAUUUAAAAAUCUUUCUUUUUUUUUUUUUUGAGACAAGGUCUCACUCUGUUGCCCACGCUAGAGUGCAGUGGCAUGAUCUCAGACCAAACUUCUACCUCUUAGGCUCAAGUGAUCCUCCCAUUUCAGCCUCCCAGGUAGCUGGGACCACAGCAUAUGCCACCAUGCCCAGCUAAUUUCUGUAUUUUUUUUGUAGAGAUGGGUAUUGCCCAGGCUGGUGUCCAACUCCUGCACUCUAGCGAUCCGCCUGCCUCAGGUAUGAGCCACUGUGCCCAAACUUAAGAAUCUUUCUGGUAGGAUGAAGGCCAAUUUAGUUUCUAAAAUGAGCAAUUAGAAGAAUUCCUCAAAAUGCUUACUUUUGAACACAUUCCUAAUUUCCUUAAUCAUCUAUUUUGUUUUCAUUCCAAGAGAUCAUUACUCUUGUUUUCUCUUGUGAAAUACACUGACAAUCCCAGGAACAUGUGACCUUGGCUUUGCCACAGAAGCUGCAUCUUCUAGGUGAGACAAAGCAUCCCAGCAUGCCACUGAGGACAGCCAGGUCUUCACAGAAACAGAGGCCCUGAUUACCCUCUGCUGAUCCCAACUGACC